rnacentral:rRNA from 1 species
AACGCGAAGAACCUUACCUGGGCUCGAAAUGUAGUGGAAUCGGGUGGAAACAGAGCCUUCCCGCAAGGGACCUGUGUAGAGGUGCUGCAUGGCUGUCGUCAGCUCGUGCCGUGAGGUGUUGGGUUAAGUCCCGCAACGAGCGCAACCCUUACUCCUAGUUGCUACCCGCAAGGGAGAACUCUAGGAGGACUGCUCCGGAUAACGGAGAGGAAGGUGGGGAUGAGGUCAAGUCAGCAUGGCCUUUAUGUCCAGGGCUACACACGUGUUACAAUGCGCGCCACAAAGCGUUGCAAACCCGCGAGGGGGAGCUAAUCGCAAAAAAGCGCGCUCAGUUCGGAUUGCAGUCUGCAACUCGACUGCAUGAAGCCGGAAUCGCUAGUAAUGGCGUAUCAGAACGACGCCGUGAAUACGUUCCCGGGCCUUGUACACACCGCUGUA